ACGAGGCGCGCCUCACCGCCCCAGCAGACGGCUCCUGGCCGCGGUCCGAGCAAUACGCUGCCCGUUGGAGCUCCCUGACUGCCGAAAAAAAAGUGGAACCGUUUUUAUUAAUACAUCAGCCCCAGCAUCAAGAACAAGAAGAAAUAAACUAAAAGAUUCACUACAAUCAACUUGCUAUUUCAGUAGAUGAUGGUGUCAUUAGUUCUGUAAAAGAUCACUAAUCUGCUCCCAAUUAACCCAGUUCUUUGGGUAGUCUGGCCAAAAUCAAACAGUCUACGGAAUGCCUAAGGAACACUCGGUGAACGCGGGAUGGAGCCCGAGGGCCAGCUUCAGUACCAAAGCCUGCCGUGUGAUGGACCCUGGGGAGACAACCUAUAUGGAGACAGGUUACCACCACCCUAGGGCUGGUCACUGUGCGGGCGGGCCUGCAGCGACAACGCCAGCCAAGGGGUCGACCCUGGGGAGUCGGCGUCUUGUGUAGAAGGGUUUCUACCUCCCCCACCCGUCAAGGAGGGGCUAGUCUCUGCGAGGACGGGCUACAGCGAUAUCGACGUCCACGAGGAUGACGUGGCGUACAUAUUAGAAAGGCGGUGCACAGCAACCCCCCUUCCCCCCUGCAGUAUGACCACCUCACAAGAACAUACGAUAGUUUGCUUUGCCUAUCCAUACUCCAGAUGGUGCUCCAUUGGUCCCAUCCCAGACGCUGCUACCUAGCAGCGUCAGCCUUGUAUGACCGAAUCUGUACCUAUGUUAUCCUACCACUCCCUAGCCUCUCCGUUCCCAUCUUGGCAUACAUACAACAUGUACUUCAGAAGGGCCGCUGCCGUCAAAAACCAUGUUACAGUAGCCAGCUAAUGCUUGCCCUUCAGGGUGGGGGCUCUGCGCGCGCCAGCUGACCCGACGGAACCCCCAAAGUCUUGUUAUUUAAUACUUGACUAAUGUUUACCUAUAUAUAAUUGUAAUUACUGUUGGUAAAUGCAUUAGUGUAAAUUAAAAUAAAGUAACAUUUAAUUACUAAUAAUUAUUUAA